rnacentral:tRNA from 1 species
UCCCUGAUAGCUCAGUUGGUAAAGAAUCUGCCUGCAACGCAGGAGACCCCAGUUUGAUUACUGGGUCGGGAA